rnacentral:rRNA from 1 species
UACGAAGGGGGCUAGCGUUGCUCGGAAUCACUGGGCGUAAAGGGUGCGUAGGCGGGUCUUUUAAGUCAGGGGUGAAAUCCUGGAGCUCAACUCCAGAACUGCCUUUGAUACUGAAGAUCUUGGAGUUCGGGAGAGGUGAGUGGAACUGCGAGUGUAGAGGUGAAAUUCGUAGAUAUUCGCAAGAACACCAGUGGCGAAGGCGGCUCACUGGCCCGAUACUGACGCUGAGGCACGAAAGCGUGGGG